rnacentral:lncRNA from 1 species
UGGCCGUUCGUGAUAGGUCGAGUAUUUUUUCCGAGCCACGGGACUUGAACGAGAGUUGGUGGGAUGAAAUGGAACGGACGAUAAGCUGCCGCCGGGACGAACAAGCGGAGAGAGGGAGAAAACAAAUCAAGUUUUAUAAGAACAAGUUAUUCUCUGAUAAACUGAAGGGAGAACCAGUAAGGGCGAACAACCGAAAAGAAAGGCAAUGGGAAGAAGAAAAUAGUUAUAUAGCAAGUUCUUGUGGGUUGGAAGCAGGGAGAGAGAAGCUAGAGGUUCUGUCCUAACGGUACAUUUCAGCUGUUAGCUGGCGGCAGUGAAGCUUUCGUGCCGAGAUAGGGUAUAACGUAUACUAUACACAAGGGCAGAAACGGUGACACGGGAGGAAAGCCGAGAAAACUUAGUCUUAUCUCAACAGGGCAGACAUUUUUGUUGUUGUGUUCACUCCCUUGUUGGUUGUUUGUCUCUCUCUCUCUGCCGAGUGUGUGGCAGCGUUUGGAAUCGGCGGGUUUAGGUUAGCACAGUUGCGGUUCUACACAGUGUGACGGCCGCAGUGCCAGGAGAGAAGGAGACGGGCCCCACACACAACACUCGACAGGAGAAAAGAAUAACAAGUGUCUUAUUUUGCUAUCCCGGCAGAUCGACACGUCCCACAAACUCACGCACUCGCCGCAAUAUGUCGGAUCCCACCACAGCUGAGGAAGCGGCGGCCAAAGCCGCUCUCGACAGUGCCCAAUCGAGUUUCUUCCUCUCGUCCAAAUUGAUUUUCCUGCUGGCUCUGAUGGUUCCGGUCGCCCUGUUAGGACUAUUUGCCCGGAAAUUGUUGAUGUCCGAGAAGGAGAAGGAAAUUCGACGGAUGGAGAAGAAGAAAGCCAAAGAGCAACGAAAGAAGAAAUGAAUAAUCCCCAUCAGGAGCAACUGAGGAUAGAACACGAAGAGAAGAAGAAUCAUAUAGAAAAACGAAAGGGAUGAUGAUGAGAGAGCGACUCUAUAGUUAAAAAAAGAUCCUUGCCCGAACACACUCCACCCCGGGAACAACAAAACCAAAAAAACGUCCAGGCUGCUGCUGCUGCUAGCGAAGGGUUGCUAUACGUCUCUCUUUUUUCUUUCCUUCCAUUUUUCUUGAUCUUUUUUUUUUCUUCUUCGUUCUAUCACAAGAAAUAAAAAAAUAAAUCCCAACAUGGUCGUGGCUCAUAUUAUAUAUUCAACACCACCCCUUAAAAACAAAAUGGAUUUUUUCGCUUGCUUCCCGAGAAAUCCUCCGGUUUUUGAUGAUCGUCCACCACUUGUAAUAAAGCGAGCGAUCCGUGCUCUCGUGACGCGACUGAUUAACCACGUAGCUGCUUCUCUCUUUCCCUUUUUUAUUUUAUUUUUAUUUUAAGUUCUUUUUUCUCUUUGAUAUACAUUCGUUACGUGUGCAAGAGCUCCAGCCAGAAACCCGUCUAUUUAUUAGCCCGGAGCAACAGAGCAGAGCCCAGGGACGGAAGAAGACGACGAUAAAGCGAAAAAGUUAAAAAAAGGAAAAGAAAAACAAAUGAGAUAGAAGAAAGAGAGCUUGACGUCUAAUCAUUGAAGCUAAUCGUGAAAUGGGAGUAGCCUUUUACAGCGAUAAUGCGAAAGGACAGCACAUGCACCAAGUUGGAAAUAAGGAAAGAAAAAGAAUAAAAAAGACCCGUGAACUUUCGAGCUUGAUGCCGUCGUAAAUAUAAAGUGGCGCACUACUGUAUAGUAUAGUACAACUUAACUUGCAAACCGUUGCAGUGCAGCGUUUGUUUCUUUUACUUUUACUUUUCCGGUUUAGAGUGAACGCGGGAGGGUUGCGUGUCUUUGGUGAUGUUCCCUACGAUCGUCUGCAUACACAACAAGAGAGGAACUGUGCGGGAGCGGACCCAGCCGGGCGUUGUAGAAAAAGGAAUAGCAGGAUGCAUAUAAGCAAAAUGGAAUGGGGCAGCUGCUGGACGAACGGACGGACACAGAGAAAAAGGAAAUGGCGAAAGAAUUGAGCCUGUGUAACAAAAGGCGAAUCGACAUGUGUGCACACCAAGAAAUAAAACAAAAAAUAACGACGAGGUGGGUGGGAGAUGCAACAUGACAAGGGAAAAGAAAAAUACUCUUCCAGGGAAACUCCCAACACAUCCAACCGGAAAGAAAAACGAAUCCAAUAAAAGGACAUGGUGACUGCAGAAAAACGACGAAGAAUAUAAAAAGGCCAAGCCAAAAGGGGAAUCUCAACUGACGUGAAUAUUUGCCGAUUCCUUUAUUCUAUUGUAAUGAACUACUUUAAUUUUAUGAGAAGAUCCAUUAAUAAAUAGCCUGACUGGCGGAACCUA